AUGAACGCUGGCGGCGUGCUUAACACAUGCAAGUCGAGCGAAGCAGUUAAGUUGAUUUCUUCGGAUUGAUUCUUAAUUGACUGAGCGGCGGACGGGUGAGUAACGCGUGGGUGACCUGCCCCAUACCGGGGGAUAACAGCUGGAAACGGCUGCUAAUACCGCAUAAGCGCACAGAGCUGCAUGGCUCGGUGUGAAAAACUCCGGUGGUAUGGGAUGGGCCCGCGUCUGAUUAGGCAGUUGGCGGGGUAACGGCCCACCAAACCGACGAUCAGUAGCCGGCCUGAGAGGGCGACCGGCCACAUUGGGACUGAGACACGGCCCAAACUCCUACGGGAGGCAGCAGUGGGGAAUAUUGCACAAUGGGGGAAACCCUGAUGCAGCGACGCCGCGUGAGCGAAGAAGUAUUUCGGUAUGUAAAGCUCUAUCAGCAGGGAAGAUAAUGACGGUACCUGACUAAGAAGCCCCGGCUAACUACGUGCCAGCAGCCGCGGUAAUACGUAGGGGGCAAGCGUUAUCCGGAUUUACUGGGUGUAAAGGGAGCGUAGACGGCAAGGCAAGUCUGAUGUGAAAACCCAGGGCUUAACCCUGGGACUGCAUUGGAAACUGUCUGGGUCGAGUGCCGGAGAGGUAAGCGGACUUCCUAGUGUAGCGGGGAAAAGCGUAGAGAUUAGGAAGAAGACCAGUGGCGAAGGCGGCUUACUGGACGGUAACUGACGUUGAGGCUCGAAAGCGUGGGGAGCAAACAGGAUUAGAUACCCUGGUAGUCCACGCCGUAAACGAUGAAUGCUAGGUGUUGGGGAGCAAAGCUCUUCGGUGCCGCCGCAAACGCAUUAAGCAUUCCACCUGGGGAGUACGUUCGCAAGAAUGAAACUCAAAGGAAUUGACGGGGGCCCGCACAAGCGGAGGAACAUGUGGUUUAAUUCGAUGAUACGCGAGGAACCUUACCCGGGCUUGAAUUGCAGAGGAAGGAUUUGGAGACAAUGACGCCCUUCGGGGUCUCUGUGAAGGUGCUGCAUGGUUGUCGUCAGCUCGUGUCGUGAGAUGUUGGGUUAAGUCCCGCAACGAGCGCAACCCUUAUCCUCAGUAGCCAGCAGGUAAAGCUGGGCACUCUGUGGAGACUGCCAGGGAUAACCUGGAGGAAGGUGGGGAUGACGUCAAAUCAUCAUGCCCCUUAUGAUCUGGGCUACACACGUGCUACAAUGGCGUAAACAAAGGGAGGCAAAGCCGCGAGGUGGAGCAAAUCCCAAAAAUAACGUCUCAGUUCGGACUGCAGUCUGCAACUCGACUGCACGAAGCUGGAAUCGCUAGUAAUCGCGAAUCAGAAUGUCGCGGUGAAUACGUUCCCGGGUCUUGUACACACCGCCCGUCACACCAUGGGAGUUGGUAACGCCCGAAGUCAGUGACCCAACCUUUCAGGAGGGAGCUGCCGAAGGCGGGACUGAUAACUGGGGUG
rnacentral:rRNA from 1 species